CCCUCCGACGGCCAUGCACUUCUUCUCCUACGGGAGGCAGCAGUGGGGAAUAUUGCACAAUGGGCGCAAGCCUGAUGCAGCGACGCCGCGUGAGGGAUGACGGCCUUCGGGUUGUAAACCUCUUUCAGUAGGGAAGAAGCGAAAGUGACGGUACCUGCAGAAGAAGCGCCGGCUAACUACGUGCCAGCAGCCGCGGUAAUACGUAGGGCGCAAGCGUUAUCCGGAAUUAUUGGGCGUAAAGAGCUCGUAGGCGGUUUGUCGCGUCUGCCGUGAAAGUCCGGGGCUCAACUCCGGAUCUGCGGUGGGUACGGGCAGACUAGAGUGAUGUAGGGGAGACUGGAAUUCCUGGUGUAGCGGUGAAAUGCGCAGAUAUCAGGAGGAACACCGAUGGCGAAGGCAGGUCUCUGGGCAUUAACUGACGCUGAGGAGCGAAAGCAUGGGGAGCGAACAGGAUUAGAUACCCUGGUAGUCCAUGCCGUAAACGUUGGGCACUAGGUGUGGGGGACAUUCCACGUUUUCCGCGCCGUAGCUAACGCAUUAAGUGCCCCGCCUGGGGAGUACGGCCGCAAGGCUAAAACUCAAAGGAAUUGACGGGGGCCCGCACAAGCGGCGGAGCAUGCGGAUAAAGUCGAUGCAACGCGAAGAACCUUACCAAGGCUUGACAUGAACCAGACCGGGCUGGAACACAGUCGUUCCCCCCUU
rnacentral:rRNA from 1 species